rnacentral:misc_RNA from 1 species
GACGGAGGGUGCAAGCGUUGUUCGGAAUCAUUGGGCGUAAAGCGCGCGCAGGCGGCCUUAGCAAGUCUGGUGUGAAAGCCCGGGGCUCAACCCCGGAGGUGCAUCGGAAACUGCAAGGCUUGAGUCCGGGAGAGGUCAGUGGAAUUCCUGGUGUAGGGGUGAAAUCCGUAGAUAUCAGGAGGAACACCGGCGGCGAAGGCGACUGACUGGACCGGAACUGACGCUGAGGCGCGAAAGCGUGGGUAGCGAACAGG